rnacentral:rRNA from 1 species
UGCAGAUGGCUAGUACCCCAAAAGAAGCACCGGGUAAAUUAGGUCCAACCACCCCGGUAAUAAGGUGGGGGCCAACCGUGGUCGGAAUCAUUGGGGGGAAAGAGGGGGUCAGCGGUAAGUGCAAUCCAGAGGUGAAAAUCUAAGAGUCAACCAGGGAACAGCAUCUGAUACUGCAUAGCUAGAGUACAGAAGAGGGAAACGGAAUUCCCGGUGUAGAGGUGAAAUUCGUAGAUAUCGGGAAGAACACCAGUGGCGAAGGCGGUCAGCUGGUCCGUUACAGACACUAAAGCACGAAAGCGUGGGGAGCAAACAGGAUUAGAUACCCUGGUAGUCCACGCCCUAAACGAUGAAUACUAGACGUUGGGUGUAAAAACUCAGUGUCGCAGCUAACGCAUUAAGUAUUCCACCUGGGGAGUACGAUCGCAAGGUUGAAACUCAAAGGAAUUGACGGGGGCCCGCACAAGCAGCGGAGCGUGUGGUUUAAUUCGAUGUUACACGAAGAACCUUACCAGGGUUUGACAUGUAGGUGGUAGUGAAGCGAAAGCGGAACGACUCUUCGGAGAGCCUGCACAGGUGCUGCAUGGCUGUCGUCAGCUCGUGUCGUGAGAUGUUCGGUUAAGUCCGCUAACGAGCGCAACCCUUGUCCUUAGUUGCCAGCGAGUAAAGUCGGGCACUCUAGGGAGACCGCCUCGGUCAACGGGGAGGAAGGUGGGGACGACGUCAAGUCAUCAUGGCCCUUACGCCCAGGGCUACACACGUACUACAAUGGCGGAUACAAAGGGUAGCGAAGCCGCAAGGUGAAGCCAAUCUCAAAAAAUCCGUCCCAGUCCGGAUCGGGGUCUGCAACUCGACCCCGUGAAGUCGGAAUCGCUAGUAAUCGGAGAUCAGCAUGCUCCGGUGAAUACGUUCCCGGGCCUUG